CACACAGCAGGUUAGUGUCUUCUUCUUCUGUGGUUAUAAACACACAGCAGGUUAGUGUCUUCUUCUUCUGUGGUUAUAAACACACAGCAGGUUAGUAUCUUCUUCUGUGGUUAUAAACACACAGCAGGUUAGUGUCUUCUUCUGUGGUUAUAAACACAGAGCCGGUUAUUGUCUUCUUCUUCUGUGGUUAUAAACACACAGCAGGUUAGUAUCUUCUUCUGUGGUUAUAAACACACAGCAGGUUAGUGUCUUCUUCUGUGGUUAUAAACACAGAGCCGGUUAUUGUCUUCUUCUUCUGUGGUUAUAAACACACAGCAGGUUAGUGUCUUCUUCUGUGGUUAUAAACACAGAGCCGGUUAUUGUCUUCUUCUUCUGUGGUUAUAAACACAGAGCAGGUUAGUGUCUUCUUCUGUGGUUAUAAACACAGAGCAGGUAAGUGUCUUUUUCUUCUGUGGUUAUAAACACACAGCAGGUUAGUGUCUUCUUCUGUGGUUAUAAACACACAGCAGGUUAGUGUCUUCUUCUGUGGUUAUAAACACACAGCAGGUUA